rnacentral:rRNA from 1 species
CCUACGGGGGGCAGCAGUGAGGAAUAUUGGUCAAUGGGCGCGAGCCUGAACCAGCCAAGUAGCGUGAAGGAUGACGGCCCUACGGGUUGUAAACCUCUUUUUCCGGGGAGCAACGGGCGCCACGUGUGGCGUCACUGAGAGUACCCGGAGAAAAAGCAUCGGCUAACUCCGUGCCAGCAGCCGCGGUAAUACGGAGGAUGCGAGCGUUAUCCGGAUUUAUUGGGUUUAAAGGGUGCGUAGGCGGAUCGUUAAGUCAGUGGUGAAAUUGAGGGGCUAAACCCCUUCCCGCCAUUGAAACUGGCGUUCUUGAGUGGAAGAGAAGUAUGCGGAAUGCGUGGUGUAGCGGUGAAAUGCAUAGAUAUCACGCAGAACCCCGAUUGCGAAGGCAGCAUGCCGGCUUCCGACUGACGCUGAAGCACGAAAGCGUGGGGAUCGAACAGGAUUAGAUACCCCGGUAGUC